rnacentral:rRNA from 1 species
AACGAACGCUGGCGGCGCGCCUAAUACAUGCAAGUCGAGCGAGAAGGUGUAGCAAUACACUUGUAAAGCGGCGAACGGGUGAGGAAUGCAUGGGUAACCUACCCUCGAGUGGGGAAUAACUAGCCGAAAGGUUAGCUAAUACCGCAUACGUUUCCGGAACUUCGGUUUCGGAAAGAAAGCAAUACCGUGGGUAUUGCGCUCCUGGAUGGGCUCAUGUCCUAUCAGCUUGUUGGUGAGGUAACGGCUCACCAAGGCUUCGACGGGUAGCUGGUCUGAGAGGACGAUCAGCCACACUGGCACUGCGACACGGGCCAGACUCCUACGGGAGGCAGCAGUAAGGAAUAUUGCGCAAUGGACGAAAGUCUGACGCAGCGACGCCGCGUGGGGGAUGAAGGUCUUCGGGAUUGUAAACCCCUUUCGGGAGGGAAGAUGGAGUGGGUAACCACUUGGACGGUACCUCCAGAAGCAGCACGGCUAACUCGUGCCAGCAGCCGCGGUAAU